UAGCAAUGAGGAUGAAUUUAAAAUCAGUGAUGAACCCUGAUGACUGUAUACGCUAUUCUGAGCUCUCA